UACGUAGGUGACAAGCGUUGUCCGGAUUUACUGGGCGUAAAGAGCGCGCAGGCGGUCGAUCAAGUCGAGUGUGAAAGCCCCCGGCUCAACUGGGGAGGGUCAUUCGAUACUGAUCGACUCGAAGGCAGGAGAGGGUAGUGGAAUUCCCGGUGUAGUGGUGAAAUGCGUAGAGAUCCGGAGGAACCCCAGAGGCGAAGGCGGCGCUCUGGCUCGCAACUGACGCUCAGACACGACAGCAUGGGGAGCGAACGGG
rnacentral:rRNA from 1 species